UUCCUACGGGAGGCAGCAGUGGGGAAUCUUCCCCAAUGGACGAAAGUCUGAUGGAGCAACGCCGCGUGAGUGAAGAAGGGUUUCGGCUCGUAAACCUCUGUUGUUGAGGAGGAACAUCUGGAGAGUAA
rnacentral:rRNA from 1 species